AUACACAGACCUUUAUAGAUGUUCACCAGAUUCGACAGGCUACAGACGUAGAAGUCUUUGUCGGCUUCGAGACGCUUUUCAAUGCGGCGGCGGGCGAUAAACAGACGGCGCUCCAUAUCGCGUGGACGCCAGCCUGCCGGAUACCCUGGUAGUCCACGCCGUAAACGAUGUCGACUUGGAGGUUGUGCCCUUGAGGCGUGGCUUCCGGAGCUAACGCGUUAAGUCGACCGCCUGGGGAGUACGGCCGCAAGGUUAAAACUCAAAUGAAUUGACGGGGGCCCGCACAAGCGGUGGAGCAUGUGGUUUAAUUCGAUGCAACGCGAAGAACCUUACCUGGUCUUGACAUCCACAGAACUUUCCAGAGAUGGAUUGGUGCCUUCGGGAACUGUGAGACAGGUGCUGCAUGGCUGUCGUCAGCUCGUGUUGUGAAAUGUUGGGUUAAGUCCCGCAACGAGCGCAACCCUUAUCCUUUGUUGCCAGCGGUCCGGCCGGGAACUCAAAGGAGACUGCCAGUGAUAAACUGGAGGAAGGUGGGGAUGACGUCAAGUCAUCAUGGCCCUUACGACCAGGGCUACACACGUGCUACAAUGGCGCAUACAAAGAGAAGCGACCUCGCGAGAGCAAGCGGACCUCAUAAAGUGCGUCGUAGUCCGGAUUGGAGUCUGCAACUCGACUCCAUGAAGUCGGAAUCGCUAGUAAUCGUGGAUCAGAAUGCCACGGUGAAUACGUUCCCGGGCCUUGUACACACCGCCCGUCAMACCAUGKGMGUCUGCUGUCCGGCAUUG
rnacentral:rRNA from 1 species